UACAGAGGUCUCAAGCGUUGUUCGGAAUUACUGGGCGUAAAGGGCGCGCAGGCCGCGCGGGCAGUCAAAUGUGUAAUCCAGGGGCUCAACCCCUGAACUGCGCUUGAUACUUCCGCGCUCGAGCUUUGGAGAGGAGUCUGGAAUUCUCGGUGUAGCAGUGAAAUGCGUGGAUAUCGAGAAGAACACUUAGGGCGUAGGCAAGACUCUGGACAAAUGCUGACGCUCAUGCACGAAAGCUAGGGUAGCGAACGGG
rnacentral:rRNA from 1 species